rnacentral:rRNA from 1 species
GUGGGGAAUAUUGGACAAUGGGCGCAAGCCUGAUCCAGCCAUGCCGCGUGAGUGAUGAAGGCCCUAGGGUUGUAAAGCUCUUUCACCGGAGAAGAUAAUGACGGUAUCCGGAGAAGAAGCCCCGGCUAACUUCGUGCCAGCAGCCGCGGUAAUACGAAGGGAGCUAGCGUUGUUCGGAUUUACUGGGCGUAAAGCGCACGUAGGCGGAUCGUUAAGUCGGGGGUGAAAUCCUGGAGCUCAACUCCAGAACUGCCUUCGAUACUGGCGAUCUUGAGUCCGGAAGAGGUGAGUGGAACUCCGAGUGUAGAGGUGGAAUUCGUAGAUAUUAGGAAGAACACCAGUGGCGAAGGCGGCUCACUGGUCCGGUACUGACGCUGAGGUGCGAAAGCGUGGGGAGCAAACAGGAUUAGAUACCCUAGUAGUCC